UUGACCCGACUCCGCCCUCACUGGCCUUGUCUCCACUUGACCCCACCCACCUGCUCUUUCUCUCUGAACUGGACUGUUAGUCCAAGGGAAAUCUCACCCCACUGAGCUGUCGUCCUGCCUGUACCUUUUCUACCUUCAUUACCAUCUCUGUGGCAGGGGUAAUGAUUCUUAACUCCACAGUUACCUGCCAGACCCCAUCCACCUGUCCUUGACAGGUCCCCCCAAGGGGAUUUUUCCUCCAGCCCCACCCACAUCAGUCCUGCCCUCCGUUACCCCACCCUUUGGCCUUCUGCCACCCUUUGGCUCUCUUCCUCCCCACUACUGCUGUUAUUCCCAGUGUGGGCCCUUGAGACUGUAUGGAAACGAUCAUGGCUUUGUCCAAGGAGAACGGCAUCUCUCUGGUACACACAAGGAAGAUGACACAUGUCACCAACUGGGCAACCAGAUGCUGGAUAAGGAUGGAAAGACCUCUCUGGCCCAGCCAGCCUUCUGCACUUGGAAAUUCGUGCAGGGUGUACACAUGAGAGAAGAGUACUCAGAACCUAGGAAACAUCUAACUUGGACACCCAGAUGAAGACAGGCAAAGAUCCCCAGCAUCUGGCCUAAGGGUCUGGGUAUAUAAAAUCUGCAAGCCAAGGGA